rnacentral:rRNA from 1 species
UGGGGAAUAUUGCACAAUGGGCGAAAGCCUGAUGCAGCGACGCCGCGUGAGGGAUGACGGCCUUCGGGUUGUAAACCUCUUUCAGCAGGGAAGAAGCGAAAGUGACGGUACCUGCAGAAGAAGCGCCGGCUAACUACGUGCCAGCAGCCGCGGUAAUACGUAGGGCGCAAGCGUUGUCCGGAAUUAUUGGGCGUAAAGAGCUCGUAGGCGGUUAGUCGCGUCUGCUGUGAAAACUCGAGGCUCAACCUCGGGCUUGCAGUGGGUACGGGCUGACUAGAGUGCGGUAGGGGUGACUGGAAUUCCUGGUGUAGCGGUGGAAUGCGCAGAUAUCAGGAGGAACACCGAUGGCGAAGGCGAGGUCACUGGGCCGCAACUGACGCUGAGGAGCGAAAGCAUGGGGAGCGAACAGGAUUAGAUACCCUGGUAGUCCAUGCCGUAAACGUUGGGCACUAGGUGUGGGGUCCAUUCCACGGAUUCCGUGCCGCAGCAAACGCAUUAAGUGCCCCCGCCUGGGGAGUACGGCCGCAAGGCUAAAACUCAAAGGAAUUGAC